UAAUAAGAAACUGGAGUGGCUGUAUUAACAUCAGACAAAAUGAUGCCAAGACAAGGAGUAUUACCAGAUGUAGUAGUUGGGGUCCAGUUAGGAGACAAAAACCACCAUUUAAACAAGGAAAUUUUAAUGUAAGAAAUGAUUAGAAUAAUGGCAAAUUGACUAGUGAAAGUUAAGAUAAUUUUAACAAAUAAAAGACUAGCAGGUAUCAGGAGCAACCGUUAUGGCUAAGACUGAGAUAGAGCUCCCAAUAUAGAGCUUUCCCCCUACUAGGGCUGAAAUCCAGAUGUCUUUGGAAAGGGCACACCUUUGAUUCACUGGAUAGUGGAGAAGUCACUAAGGUGCCUCGUAAGUGGGAGCAUAAGUGGGAGUUGCUAGAAGUUUCUGGGGUGCCAGGGGGGCCAUCCACAGAAAAGUGGAGUCUUAAAUCAUCAGAGUGAACUCCCUGAGUGUCAGAGGGAGCUGGUGGUGGCUGGGCACUGCUGGAACCGAAAUCUGGAGAAGCAGCCCUCUAGGAGCCCAGCAUGCCUGCAGGACGGCCCUGGGAUUCUAGGACUGAAAAGAUGUGGGGAGCAGUGACUUGGUUUGGUGUGCAGGCCCAUACCAUCUGGGAAAUCCCGGAUAAUCUCCAGCUGAACACUUGAGAAAAUUGCAGCCUGCAGCAUGGGAGAAACCACACAGGGAAUAAGCAUGCAGGGGAGGGUGGAGUGUGCCCUACAACAGCCUAGAGAGUGAAUCAUACCAGAACCAGGAAAGGAAAAUCCCUUCCUCCUCCAGCGUCCUCCAGAACCCUCUACUGACAAGGUUUAACACUCGGCUAGCUAGCAAAGGAGAAAUAUUUCCAAAAUCCAUCUUCAUUUAUUACAAAGUAGGCCAAAAUAUGGUGAAUUUGGAGCUAAGAGGAAAUACAUCAAUAAACAGCAUAGUCUGCCCCUUUGAGUACUCACUGUCCAUAUAUACCUUCUACGCACACUUGAAUGCCAUACAAUAAUAACUCUACAUUUCACCUAACAGGAUACUCAUCAUCUCCAAAAUGAGGAGAUGCAACAAUCAUUGCAUACAGUGCUGUGGCUAUAUUAAUUGCCCUUUAGAAUCAUCACAGUUCCACUGGAUAGUCUGUUGCCCAAAGACUAAUUGUGAAUUUAACCUCUAGCAACUUGCAUAUAAAAUUUUUGUUAAUAGAAGGGAGCAAGAAGAGGAAAAUGUGAGCAUAUAUACAUAAGUACAUACACAUGAAAAGCAAAAAAGGAAAUAUUCAAAAUGACUACAGCCCUUUUUUCUGCAGUUGGUCACAAGGCCCUAAUUUUUACUUAUGGCUUCCUUCUUCUACUGUUCAUUGAUUUCGCCCACCUCCAGCCAGAACCUGGUAGAGUAAUUCAAACUCUCAUUCCUGAAAGUUCCAAGUCCUCAAUUAUCCUGCCUUUUAUUUUGGUUUCUGUACUUUUCUACUACACUUUUCUAUUGCAUAUGGAGUACUAAUAUACACCCCAAACUGUCUCCUGGGUUACAGACAUAGUCUUCCUUGCCCCUAAUGUAUAAAGGCAACCCAGUUUCCUCUUGGCAAUAGGGAUCAGUCACUCCACCUAGUAGAGCAAUCCACCUUUCUGCCUGUUGAUUCAGUAGCAUGAGGAGUCCAGAAUAGCCAAAUGGAAAUCUUUCUCCAAUUCAGUGGAACCAUUGUGUCUCAUGGUGGAAACCAUGUUCCCUUUAAGAACUCAGAUCUCUGAAAUGGCAGAGCUCAAAGAUGCCAGAAGCAGCAGCAAAUAUUCUGCAAGUGUGUUAUUAGGUGUUGCUACGGUCUGAAUGUUGGUGACCUCCCAAAAUUUAUAUGUUGAAAUCUAAUCACAAACGUAAUAGUAUUAAGAAAUGGGGCCUUUAGGAAGUGAUUAAGUCAUGAGAGUGGAACCCUCAUAAAUGAGAUUAGUGCCUUGGUAAAAGAGGUGCAAGGGAACUGUUCACCCCUUCCUCCAGGUGAAGAGCCACAAGAAGAUGCCAUAUUGGAAGCAGAAAGCAAGCCCUCGCCAGGCACUGAAUCUGCUUGAUCUGGGACUUCCCAGCAUCUAGAACUAGAAACAGAACCAAUGGGAUGUACAUAAAGAGAUUUAUUGUAAGAAAUCGGCACAUGUGAUUAUGGAGGCUGACAAAUCCCAAGAUCUGCAGGGGGAGGUGGCAAGCUGGAGACUCAGAAGCUGUUUCGGAAAAAAAGAAAUAGAGGUUUAAAG
rnacentral:lncRNA from 10 species